rnacentral:rRNA from 1 species
UACGGGGGGGGCAAGCGUUGUUCGGAAUUACUGGGCGUAAAGGGCUCGUAGGCGGCCAACUAAGUCAGACGUGAAAUCCCUCGGCUUAACCGGGGAACUGCGUCUGAUACUGGAUGGCUUGAGUUUGGGAGAGGGAUGCGGAAUUCCAGGUGUAGCGGUGAAAUGCGUAGAUAUCUGGAGGAACACCGGUGGCGAAGGCGGCAUCCUGGACCGAGACUGACGCUGAGGCGCGAAAGCGUGGGGAGCAAACAGG